CUUUCAUCUCUGUCACCUAUGGAACUGCUCUCAGGCGUACUGUUUAGAAUGGUGUUUUCCCAGGUGCGUUGUUUAGAAUGGUGUUUUCCCAGGUGUGUUGUUUAGAAUGGUGUUUUCCCAGGUGCACUGUUUAGAAUGGUGUUUUCCCAGGUGCACUGUUUUAGAAUGGUGUUUUCCCAGGUGCACUGUUUAGAAUGGUGUUUUCCCAGGUGCCCUGUUUUAGAAUGGUGUUUUCCCAGGUGCACUGUUUCGCCUGGUGUUUUCCCAGGUGCAUUGUUUGAGAAUGGUGUUUUCCCCGGUGCACUGUUUAGAAUGGUGUUUUCCCAGGUGCAUUGUUUAGAAUGGUGUUUUCUCAGGUGCACUGUUUAGAAUGGUGUUUUCUCAGGUGCGUUGUUUAGAAUGGUGUUUUCUCAGGUGCAUUGUUUAGAAUGGUGUUUUCUCAGGUGCGUUGUUUAGAAUGGUGUUUUCUCAGGUGCACUGUUUAGAAUGGUGUUUUCUCAGGUGCACUGUUUAGAAUGGUGUUUUCUCAGGUGCACUGUUUAGAAUGGUGUUUUCCCAGGUGCGUUGUUUAUAAUUGUGUUUUCCUUGAAGUAGUCCCCAGGACCAAUGGAAGCGAAACAGACCCAUUAUGUCAAAUAUCCACCAGCAUAUAGGUAUGAGGUUAUUUUCUGCAUUUGCAUCCUUCUUUCGAUGCCAAACCCACCACUGAUUUGCGUGCCAAAGACCUCUAUUUUCAUUUAAUCUGACCAGGGUCGUCACUUCAGCUAAACUGAGGGUAUGGCAAAGUGACAGGGAUUAAGAUUGGGGAUUCAUUCACCUCAGUCAUUAGGG
rnacentral:lncRNA from 1 species